UACGGAGGGUGCGAGCGUUGUCCGGAAUCAUUGGGCGUAAAGGCGCGUAGGUGGCCCGGUCAGUUCGUGGUGAAAGCGCGGGGCUCAACCCUGCGUCGGCCAUGAAUACUGCCGCGGCUGGAGCACUGUAGAGGCAGGCGGAAUUCCGGGUGUAGCGGUGGAAUGCGUAGAGAUCCGGAAGAACACCGGUGGCGAAGGCGGCCUGCUGGGCAGUUGCUGACACUGAGGCGCGACAGCGUGGGGAGCAAACAGG
rnacentral:rRNA from 1 species